AACGUAGGUGGCAAGCGUUAUCCGGAAUUACUGGGCGUAAAGGGUGUGCAGGCGGGUGUGCAAGUGGGGUGUGAAAUCUCCCAGCUUAACUGGGAUAGGUUAUGCCAGACUGCAUAUCUAGAGGACGAGAGAGGGGGGUGGAAUUCCGGGUGUAGUGGUGAAAUGCGUAGAGAUCCGGAGGAACCCCAGAGGCGAAGGCGGCCCCCUGGCUCGUACCUGACGCUCAGCCACGAAAGCAUGGGGAGCGAACGGG
rnacentral:rRNA from 1 species